AGAUGCAGCCACAUCCCGCUCUUGUUUUCGUGGGAAAACUUUGAAAAGAUUCCAAACCAUUGCAGUUUCGAAAUUGGUUUGCUUGGUCUGUCUCAUAAUUUAUGAAUGGGUGUGGUUUCUCUGGCAUGCUGGAGAAGCUAGAGGCUCUAAAGCACAAAUUGUUUUCAUGAGUAACGACAUUUUGUAACCAUCUCCAGAUUACUUGUAUUUUUCCUCCAGCCACCUGUGGAUCUGUGGGGCAACCAAGGUGUUUGUCUGGUUCACGGCUUUAUUACUACCAUCUUCCCCCGCCCCCUGCGGCGUGGGAUAAAUGCUUGGUGACAAAUAGAUUGGAUUGCAGUGUUCUGCAGGGGAGUUUAGGGAGACCGGGGACAGCAUUGGAUUACACUAAGAGAAAGUUACUCUCUUCAGUUUUCUUCCAAGCUUCCGAAUAUAUCAAAGGGGAAAGUCUCAGUUCACGUUUUUUAGCAUCCUCUAAAUCCUCCCAUCUUACAGGACCUGUCUUACCAAUUCUAUCUAAAUACAAGUUAAUAACUUUCUUUUUCCUUAUACUUAUUCUUCUACUUAUUUUAGGGCUGCAGUACUGAUUUCCUAUUUAUGACAGUGAUAUAAAGUUUUCUUUGAAAAAAAUCAGUAUAUUUAUGAAAAAUGAAUCCUUUAAAGAAAAUAAGCGUGACUGCAGAUGAGGACAGCUCUGCCCGAGUCUCCAAGGCAGGACGGGAAGAAUGGAGUUUUGGGCAGCAAUGCAUCUGUGAAGGGAGAGAACAGUCUGUACCAAGACUGGGCAUAGGAGACGGCUGAUGCAUGCUGGGAUAUACGAUAAUGCCUUUGGAUCAGUGCCUUUGGCUGGCGCGUGAGGAGGGAACAGAGCCUGUCCAAAACAGGCUGAAGGCUGAGCGUGGAACUGGGAUUCCAGCUCACAGGCUUAGUCACACUUGUCAAAAGCAAUAUUUUGUAACUAUCCUGCAGUGAAUUUGUGAACAGCAAAACCCACCCAUGAAAGAUGUUCACGUCAAUAUAAUAUCCCAAGUGUACAACAGAAGAUAUAUUUUAAAAAGCCUUUAGGAAUAAAAUAAUAUGUAUGUGAAUAUGUUAACACUCGAGACACAUGAAGCUGUCAAAACCCGUGCCACACAGGCAUGUGCUGAAACCAGUAAAGAUCAUUAGCUUGCUGAUGGUGAUGUGAUAUUCUGCAACACUGACCAAGUCUUGGCAAAGUUCCAAGCAAAACAAAGAGCAGCUGUCCCUCUACAGAGAUACAACCACGCAGCUGUAAGAGAAUUUGAAAGAAGCAUUUGCUAAAAAUGCUCUGGCACAUGGUUUAGUUCUUGUGAAAGAAGAGAAGAGUCAUAGUUGGAUCACAGACCUUUCUGAAGAAGAUGAUAAAAUCACGUUUGGAGUUUAAAUGUUCUCUUCAGGUCACUUGAUGCUAAUGAACUUGCCACUGGACAUGUGAUACCCAUCUACACUUCAUUUCAACCCUCCCUUGAAGUUGGUUGGACCAUGUGACAAGUUCUCUUUAGCGGAGUUUGACUUGGGAUGAUGUGUGCCAUUCUCUGGAGUGGCCCAUAGACAUUCCUAUGCAUGCCCUCCAUCCCGAGGGCAGGAAUGACCCUGUUAUGGUUAGGAUAUAAGGUGUCCCCACAAAAGCUGCUGUUAACAUUCAGAGGUGAAAUAAUCAGGGUAUGAGAAUGGUAACCUAAUCAGUCCAUCCUAGUUUGAUUGGACUAAUUUGGUGACAACUUGGAGGCAGGUGGGGUGAGCUAGAGAAGCUGGGUUUUUGAGGAUGCAUGUACACUGGAGGGCUUCGUCCUCCCUGUCCCUCUACUUCUUGGCUGCAGUGAAACUUUCCUCUGCCUUGCUCUUCUGUCAUGGUGUUCUGCCUUUCCGUGGGUCCAGAGCAUUGGAGUUAGCCGACCAUGGACUGAACCUCUGAAACUGUAAACCCCAAAUAAAUUUUUCCUCCUUUAAAUUGUUCUUGCUGAUAGUUUCAUAACAAUGACCAAAUAAAUAAAUAAAUAAAAAUAACAACAAAAAACCCCAGACUACUACAGAUGAUCAUGGGAGUGGCAUGCAAAUGGGUGCUACUAGGGUGCUUCGAUGACAGCAUUGGGCAGGCAGCCCCACCAACCUGGACCCCUGGUCUAAACUGCUCUAGGAGGGAGAAUCACAACUCUGGGGCCUAUUUGUUCCUGCAGCUUAGCCUAUGCCAAUGUGAACCUUCUAGUUCAGUUCACAUGUGUUCAGGGGCGAGCAGCAAAAGGCUGAAGGAGUAAAGGGGAAGGCUUUGUGUCUGAAUGGAAGAGUAGGUUUAUUAUGCAUUUUGUAUAUUUCAAUGACAACCCUAGAGAUGUGGAAUAAAAUAUCCACCCUCACAAAUGCAGUGCCAGGAACUUUCCCAAGCUUGCAAGAAGCAAGUACCAGAAGCAAAGAGAAGCCUGAGCUCCAGAGGAGCAGCUGUGAGCCGGGAGGUUGGCAGCCCCAGGGGCUGGUGAUGGGUAGAAGCUUGGUUUUUUGUUUUUGUUGUUGUUGUUCUGUUAGUGACUUCAAAGUAGCAUUCAGUGGGGGCCGGGAUACAGCUCAUUGGUAGAAUGCUUGCCCCACAUGCACAAGGCCUUGAGUUCAAUCCCCAGCACCACAAAAUGAGCAUUGACUGUCUUCUGCUAGUCACUCUGCAGAGCUCUUGACUGGCACCUGCUCAUUUAAUUAUCACCUCCUUAGGAGGGAGGUGCUGUUAAUGUCGUUACUUUAUGAGGAGCCCAAAGCAUAGAGAAAUUAAGUUACUUGUCUUUGAUCUCAGGCUGGAAAGAGAUUAGAGUUGAGACUGAACCCAGGACACAUGGCUUUCUGAGUCAGUGUUCUUAAGGCACCAUAAGUCACUACAGUAUGCCAGGGUCAUAAGUAGAAAGAUGAGUAAAAACAGGACCAGCUUUUACCUUGGGAGUGAUGGUCCCACAUGCCUCCAUCAAAAUCCACACAUCCUGUGUCCCAGCAGGACCCCUGCAUUAAACCAGAGAACAGAACUCUGUUCACCUUAAUUCAUUUUCUGGUGCUAUAACAAAAUACUCAAGACCAGGUGAUUUAUAAAGAUUAGAGAUUUAUUUAGCUCACAGUUCUGGAAGCUGGGAAGUCCAAGAACCUGGUUUUGGUCUCUGGUCAGGGCUUCUUAUCACAUCGGAAUGACAGAGGCAUCCUAUGGUGAGAUAGCAAGGUGCAUCAGAGAGAGCUCAUAACAUUAUUUGUGUUAUGAAUAAUGGAUUAAUUCCCCAAGCCCCCACCAUACCAUUAAUAGAUGAUUUAGGGAGUUGUUUCCAAAACCUGAAUUCCAGGGACACAUCCAAACUAUAGCACUAUUCCUUCUGCUUUCCAAGCUGUCAGUAGCCCUGCCAGUUCAGGUCUGUGGGGGAGGAGGUUUAAAUUCUUCUUACUCACUACGUUCUUCCCUUCUGAAGACCUGGGCCUUGUAAUAUUACUACCAGGCUCUGCCCAAGGAGACAGCACUACAGCCCGCUGUGCUCCACCUAUCCUGGGAAGCCUCCUGGGAAUCAGCAGGGUAGUGCUUUCGUGUGGGAAUUGGCCACAUGAGCUACUAUUAGAAAUAAGUUCAGAUUUCCCUUUCUGGAGCUACAGUUGGGUAUAGGCAGAGAGGAACAGGGAUCAGGAACCCUACAUUACAGGUGGAGCAUCCCUAAUCCCAAAAUCUCAAAUCCCAAAUGUUUUAAAAUCCGAGACUUUUUGAGCGCUGACAUAUUGCCACAAGCGGAAAAUUCCACAUCAUAAAACAUUGCUUCAUGCAUAAAAUUACGUGAGAUAUUUUAUUAAGGUACCUUUAGACUCUGAAUAAAUCAUAUAUGAAACAUAAAUGAAUUUCCUGCUUAGGAUCAGGUCUCAGCCCAAUGUCUCAUUAUGUAUAUACAAAUAUUCCAAAAUGGGAAAAUUCCCAAAUCCAAGACAUUUCUUUGGAUUUUGGAAUUCCCAAACCCAAGCAUUUUGGAUAAGGUAGAUGUAACCCAUAUUUCAUGUCCUUGGGAUCCUCCAGACACGCAUCAUACUUGUGUCAUUCUGUGCAGAAGUGCCAUAUAUCACAGCAUAAUCAUCACCACCACAUAAUCAUUGUGCCCUGUUUUUUUUUUUUUGGAUCCAAAAAUUGGUUUAUAAUCUUUUAUUGUUAAUUGUUGCAUGGUAUGAUUUCAUUUGCCAGGAACAUAUAGGUGCAUGUUUCUGUUCUCUUGCUCUGUGAUGGAGUAUAUUUCCAAAAGCCAACUCACCAGCCUUGUUUAGAGUACCUCAGAACUAAUGGUGAAUACAUCUGACAUGUGCCGCUCAUGAGGACCUCGUGAUACCAAGAACUGUGGUGCAGAACCUUGGGAUAUGGAAGAUUACAUUUUACAGGAAAAAUGUUCCCUCAACUGUCAGGAAGAAAUGAUACAUGUGGAUUUGGACAAUUCUAUCAUUAUUUAUUUAAUUAAUUUAUUUUUUUUGUGUGGUACUAGGGAUCAAACUCAGGGCCUUGUGGCAUGCAAGACAAGCACUCUACCAACUGAGCUAUAUCCCCAGCCCUGGACUAUUCUAUUUUAAUGUAUAUUCAUGAGUAUUCUGUGCAUCCUAACCUUGCACCAAUGACAGUUUACUAAUAAACAAUUUUUAAGUAA